rnacentral:rRNA from 1 species
AUUGAACGCUGGCGGCAUGCCUUACACAUGCAAGUCGAACGGCAGCACGGGUGCUUGCACCUGGUGGCGAGUGGCGAACGGGUGAGUAAUAUAUCGGAACGUACCUUAUUGUGGGGGAUAACGCAGCGAAAGCUGUGCUAAUACCGCAUAAUCCCUAAGGGGGAAAGCGGGGGACCGUAAGGCCUCGCGCAAUUAGAGCGGCCGAUACCUGAUUAGCUAGUUGGUGAGGUAAAGGCUCACCAAGGCAACGAUCAGUAGCUGGUCUGAGAGGACGAUCAGCCACACUUGGACUGAGACACGGCCCAGACUCCUACGGGAGGCAGCAGUGGGGAAUUUUGGACAAUGGGGGCAACCCUGAUCCAGCAAUGCCGCGUGAGUGAAGAAGGCCUUCGGGUUGUAAGGCUCUUUUGUCAGAGAAGAAACAGCAGCUCUAACACAGUUUGCGAAUGACGGUACCUGAAGAAUAAGCACCGGCUAACUACGUGCCAGCAGCCGCCGUAA